UACGGGGGGGGCAAGCGUUGUUCGGAAUUACUGGGCGUAAAGGGCGCGUAGGCGGCCUGCUAAGUCGGAUGUGAAAUCCCUCGGCUCAACCGAGGAACUGCAUCCGAUACUGGCGGGCUUGAAUCCGGGAGAGGGAUGUGGAAUUCCAGGUGUAGCGGUGAAAUGCGUAGAUAUCAGGAGGAACACCGGUGGCGAAGGCGGGUCUCUGGGCCGACACUGACGCUGAACUGCGAAAGCUAGGGGAGCGAACGGG
rnacentral:rRNA from 1 species